AUGUGACUCACCUGUGCAUGAUCCAUUUGUUCCAUUCUGCCUUCACAGAAUCACAGAUCCAAUUGCAGGUAUAAGAGAGAAAAAUGGACUACGAGCAGAUGACCAUUGGCCAGCUACGAAGUGCAGUCAUAAAAAAAACUAGGAAUUUUU